GUGGGGAAUAUUGCACAAUGGGCGAAAGCCUGAUGCAGCGACGCCGCGUGAGCGAUGAAGUAUUUCGGUACGUAAAGCUCUAUCAGCAGGGAAGAUAAUGACGGUACCUGACUAAGAAGCACCGGCUAAAUACGUGCCAGCAGCCGCGGUAAUACGUAUGGUGCAAGCGUUAUCCGGAUUUACUGGGUGUAAAGGGAUCGUAGGUGGCGUGGUAAGUCAGAAGUGAAAGCCCGGGGCUCAACCCCGGGACUGCUUUUGAAACUAUCAUGCUAGAGUGUCGGAGAGGUGAGUGGAAUUCCUAGUGUAGCGGUGAAAUGCGUAGAUAUUAGGAGGAACACCAGUGGCGAAGGCGGCUUACUGGACGAUAACUGACGCUGAGGCUCGAAAGCGUGGGGAGCAAACAGGAUUAGAAACCCUUGUAGUCC
rnacentral:rRNA from 1 species